ensembl:snRNA U2 U2 spliceosomal RNA
AUCGCUUCUCGGCCUUUUGGCUAAGAUCAAGUGUAGUAUCUGUUCUUAUCAGUUUAAUAUCUGAUACGCCCCGAUUCGGGGCAACGAUAAACGCAUUUUUAGAACAGGGAGCUGAAUAAGGGGCUCGCUCCGUUCGCUCCCACGCAUCGACCGGUAUUGCAGCGCCGCCCGGGAACGGUGCCCCUUUG